rnacentral:rRNA from 1 species
GACGAACGCUGGCGGCGUGCUUAACACAUGCAAGUCGAACGAAGAGCGAUGGAAGCUUGCUUCUAUCAAUCUUAGUGGCGAACGGGUGAGUAACGCGUAAUCAACCUGCCCUUCAGAGGGGGGCAACAGUUGGAAACGACUGCUAAUACCGCAUACGAUCUAACCUCGGCAUCGAGGAUAGAUGAAAGGUGGCCUCUACAUGUAAGCUAUCACUGAAGGAGGGGAUUGCGUCUGAUUAGCUAGUUGGAGGGGUAACGGCCCACCAAGGCGAUGAUCAGUAGCCGGUCUGAGAGGAUGAACGGCCACAUUGGGACUGAGACACGGCCCAGACGCCUACGGGAGGCAGCAGUGGGGAAUCUUCCGCAAUGGACGAAAGUCUGACGGAGCAACGCCGCGUGAGUGAUGACGGCCUUCGGGUUGUAAAGCUCUGUUAAUCGGGACGAAAGGCCUUCUUGCGAAUAGUGAGAAGGAUUGACGGUACCGGAAUAGAAAGCCACGGCUAACUACGUG